rnacentral:rRNA from 1 species
CCUACGGGUGGCAGCAGUGGGGAAUAUUGCGCAAUGGGCGAAAGCCUGACGCAGCGACGCCGCGUGAGGGAUGAAGGUCUUCGGAUCGUAAACCUCUGUCAGCAGGGAAGAACGGUCACUGGGCUAAGCAGCAGUGAAUAGACGGUACCGGCAAAGGAAGCACCGGCGAACUCCGUGCCAGCAGCCGCGGUAAUACGGAGGGAGCGCGCGUUAAUCGGAAUUACUGGGCGUCAAGCGCUCGUAGGCGGUUUGUCAAGUCAAGGGUGACAUCCCCGCCCUCAACGUGGGAACUGCCUUUGAAACUGGCAAACUGGCGUGUGUGAGAGGAUAGUGGAAUUCCUGGUGUAGG